AGUAACUAUACUAUACCUUACCAUGAACCACCAUCAAAACAAAGGGUUGCUCCCUCUCUCUAUCAAUCUAAACUAAAUUAGGUUUAAAUCUUUACAACCAUUGAAGCAGCAAUGCCGGUUUACCAUCGCUUUCAACUAUUGACAGCAGUUUUACAAUCUCUCUCCCUCAUUUGAACAACUUUAAAAUCGGUUUAGAGCUCUACAUAAUUACUUAUAUGUUAUCUUCUUUUUUUCAAAUUUAUGAUCUUAAUAUUUUGUAAAAUAAAUUUUAAAAUUUCUUUUGGGACUGAAAUGAAGGAAGAGAGAAGGGGAUAAAUUGGAAGAUCAAAGAUUUCUAGCUCACAUAGAAAGGAAAUAAUUUUAAGAACAAUGAGCUUUACAAUCGCUCCCUCCCUAUUGAAGCAGCAGGCCGGUUCGAGCUUUACAAUCAUUUGUUUAAGGUUAACAAUUCACUUAAGGCCGAUAACACAUCCAAAGGUUUUCACUCAAUAUAUUCUGGCGAGGCUCUUUUGUGGAAAUGGCUGGUUAAGCUUCUAUCAGUGUUUCUUAUGACAAGGUUGCUAAGUGUCACUUUGUUUAAAUGGUGGAUCGCCUGAUGUUACCAAAAAGUACUGUUGGUUUUCACUUUUGAAGACAAUGGAACCAUUUAUACUUGUGUACUAAUAGCCUAUCAGAUCAUAUAGUCAUUACUGAGAAUUUUGGAGUUUGGUAAAAAGGAAUUCUUAAUUGGGGGCAAAGAGUCAACUUUUCUUGAGGUCUUCGAAGAGACACAUAGGAAGAAAAAGAAGGAUGGUACAAGAGAAGAUUGGGUCGAAACGCGUGCUAAGGAUACAUAUGAAGGAUUUCAAAAAAGCAUAGAUGAUUGGCGUCAAACCCAACCCACUUCAAAGGUUGGUAACAUAGUCCAAUCAUCACCUGCAGGUAUUACUAACAUGUGGACAGUUGUGGUAGGUGGUCUAAAGAAAGGUAGAACCUACGGGUGUGGGUACUUGAAUUCUGGAGUAGUCCUUCGUUGUUUCCCAAUUUCUCUUCUACUUUGCAAAUUAUGGAAGAAAUGGAAGCGAUGAGAAAGCAAAUUGCAGGUUUUGAUGUAACAGUGUGCCACUAACGAUGCUAAGUUUGCCAAGUUUGCUAAAUUUGAGAAGUUGGUCAAGAAGAACAUGCCUCAAGUUUUUUAUGAUGAGGCAGAGAGUGAAUCUGAUUUUGAUUAGACUAUAGUAGUUCUUGUUUUUGGUUGUGAAUUUUAGACUUAAAGUUCUCUUGAGAUAUUUAAAAUAUUUGAUUCGUUGUUUGUUUUGUAUUGUGAUGUUAUUAAGACUUCGUGAUGUUUAAACUAUUUGACUCAAAGUUUAUUUUGGAUGUUUUAAA